UAACGCGUGAGGAACCUGCCUCAAAGAGGGGGACAACAGUUGGAAACGACUGCUAAUACCGCAUAAAGCAUCAAAUUCGCAUGUUUUUGAUGCCAAAGGAGCAAUCCGCUUUUAGAUGAGCUCGCGUCUGAUUAGCUGGUUGGCGGGGUAACGGCCCACCAAGGCGACGAUCAGUAGCCGGACUGAGAGGUUGAACGGCCACAUUGGGACUGAGACACGGCCCAG
rnacentral:rRNA from 1 species